rnacentral:rRNA from 1 species
UUUACCUACGGGGGGCAGCAGUGGGGAAUAUUGCACAAUGGGGGGAACCCUGAUCCAGCGACGCCGCGUGAGUGAAGAAGUAUCUCGGUAUGUAAAGCUCUAUCAGCAGGGAAGAGGAAGGACGGUACCUGCAGAGGAAGCCACGGCUAACUACGUGCCAGCAGCCGCGGUAAUACGUAGGUGGCAAGCGUUGUUCGGAAUAAAUGGGCGUAAAGGAUGCGUAGGCGGUUAAACAAGUUAUAUGUUA